rnacentral:ncRNA from 1 species
UUAGCAGUAUAAGCGCCAGAGCUUGCUCGUAACGAGGGGCAUCGCUUGAGUCAUACCAAAACUCCCGUCUGUGAAGCGGGACUAAGUAAUCGGAAUGAAGCUUUUGCCUCUGAGCAAGGCAGCCGGGAGGGCGUGCCUUAGCAGAGGGAACAACAAAAGAAUUUCAUUUCUCCGUAUGACCUGAGGCGAUGGAGAGCAAGCUGACGAGGUGAAGGUGUUCGAAUUAUUCGGCGGGGACCUUCCGGUUAAGCAUUCAAGCCGUAAGCCGAUAUGCGAAAAGGACGCGGGCAACCGGUCUCACAACCAUUCGGCGGAAUGCGU